UACGAAGGGGGCUAGCGUUGCUCGGAAUGACUGGGCGUAAAGGGCGCGUAGGCGGAUUGUACAGUCAGGCGUGAAAUUCCCGGGCUCAACCUGGGGGCUGCGCUUGAGACGUGCGAUCUUGAGUGGGGAAGAGGGUCGUGGAAUUCCCAGUGUAGAGGUGAAAUUCGUAGAUAUUGGGAAGAACACCGGUGGCGAAGGCGGGUCUCUGGGCCGUUACUGACGCUGAGGAGCGAAAGCGUGGGGAGCGAACAGG
rnacentral:rRNA from 1 species